rnacentral:misc_RNA from 1 species
AUGGUGUAUAAGGACAGGGUGAGUCAUCGAAUCUUUGAACGCACAUUGCGCCCGCCAGUAUUCUGGCGGGCAUGCCUGUUCGAGCGUCAUUUCAACCCUCAAGCACAGCUUGGUGUUGGGACUCGCGUUAAUUCGCGUUCCUCAAAUUGAUUGGCGGUCACGUCGAGCUUCCAUAGCGUAGUAGUAAAACCCUCGUUACUGGUAAUCGUCGCGGCCACGCCGUUAAACCCCAACUUCUGAAUGUUGACCUCGGAUCAGGUAGGAAUACCCGCUGAACUUAAGCAUAUCAAUAAGCGGAGG